rnacentral:tRNA from 1 species
GGAGAGGUGGCUGAGUGGUCGAAAGCGACCGACUCGAAAUCGUUUGAAGGGAAACAUUCCGUGGGUUCGAAUCCCACCCUCUCCG